GAAUAUUGGGCAAUGGCCGAAAGGCUGACCCAGCAACGCCGCGUGAGGGAUGAAGCUCUAAGGAGUGUAAACCUCUUUCGGAAGGGAAGAAUUUCUCUAAGGUAAAUAAUUUUAGAGAUUGACGGUACCUUCUAAAGAAGCCCCGGCUAACUCCGUGCCAGCAGCCGCGGUAAUACGGGGGGGGCGAGCGUUGUCCGGAAUCUUUGGGCGUAAAGGGCGCGCAGGCGGAAUAGUAAGUUGGAGGUGAAAAUCCUGAGCUUAACUCAGGGCCUGCCUUUGAUACUGCUAUUCUUGAGUACGGUAGAGGAAAGUGGAAUUCCCGGUGUAGCGGUGAAAUGCGUAGAUAUCGGGAAGAACACCGGUAGCGAAGGCGGCUUUCUGGGCCGUAACUGACGCUGAGGCGCGAAAGCGUGGGGAGCAAACAGG
rnacentral:rRNA from 1 species